rnacentral:rRNA from 1 species
UGGGGAAUUUUGCACAAUGGGGGAAACCCUGAUGCAGCGACGCCGCGUGAUUUAGAAGGCCUUCGGGUUGUAAAAAUCUUUUCUAUGGGAAGAAAAUGACAGUACCAUAGGAAUAAGGACCGGCUAAUUACGUGCCAGCAGCCGCGGUAAUACGUAAGGUCCGAGCGUUGUCCGGAAUCAUUGGGCGUAAAGGGUACGUAGGCCGGUAAGCAAGUUAGAAGUGAAAUCCUAUAGCUCAACUAUAGUAAGCUUUUAAAACUGCUCAUCUUGAGGUAUGGAAGGGAAAGUGGAAUUCCUAGUGUAGCGGUGAAAUGCGCAGAUAUUAGGAGGAAUACCGGUGGCGAAGGCGACUUUCUGGCCAUAACCUGACGCUGAGGUACGAAAGCGUGGGUAGCAAACAGG